rnacentral:rRNA from 1 species
GAUGAACGCUAGCGGCAGGCCUAACACAUGCAAGUCGAGGGGUAACUAGAGUGAUAGCAAUAUUACUUUGGCUAGACCGGCGCACGGGUGCGUAACACGUAUGCAACCUACCUUAUACUGGGGAAUAACUUCGAGAAAUCGGCGCUAAUACCCCAUACCACUGCGGAGAGGCAUCUCUUUGCAGUUAAAGCUCCGGCGGUAUAAGAUGGGCAUGCGUCCAAUUAGCUAGUUGGUGAAGUAACGGCUCACCAAGGCUACGAUUGGUAGGGGUUCUGAGAGGAUGAUCCCCCACACUGGUACUGAGACACGGACCAGACUCCUACGGGAGGCAGCAGUGAGGAAUAUUGCGCAAUGGACGAAAGUCUGACGCAGCCAUGCCGCGUGCAGGAUGACGGCCCUAUGGGUUGUAAACUGCUUUUGUACGGGAAUAAACCCUUCUACGUGUAGGAGGCUGAAGGUACCGUAAGAAUAAGCACCGGCUAACUCCGUGCCAGCAGCCGCGGUAA